GUGCUUGCUUUAGCAGCACAUAUACUAAAAAUUGGAAUGAUACAGAGAAGAUUAGCAUGGCCCCUGUGCAAAGAUUAUAUACAAAUUUGGAAUGCAUUCUAUGUUUUU
ensembl:snRNA U6 U6 spliceosomal RNA